UACGUAGGGGGCGAGCGUUGUCCGAAUUUACUGGGCGUAAAGAGCGCGUAGGCGGGUUCUUAAGUGAGAGGUGAAAGGUUCAGGGCUCAACCCGAACAGUGCCUUUCAUACUGAGAGCCUUGAGUGUGGGAGAGGCGAGUGGAAUUUCUGGUGUAGCGGUGAAAUGCGUAGAUAUCAAGAAGGAACACCCAUGGCGAAGGCAGCUCCGCUGGCCUACAACUGACGCUGAGGCGCGAAAGCGUGGGGAGCAAACAGGA
rnacentral:rRNA from 1 species